AGUGAACGCUGGCGGUAGGCCUAACACAUGCAAGUCGAACGGCAGCACAGUAAGAGCUUGCUCUUACGGGUGGCGAGUGGCGGACGGGUGCGGAAUACAUCGGAAUCUACUUUUUCGUGGGGGAUAACGUAGGGGAACUUACGCUAAUACCGCAUACGACCUACGGGUGAAAGCAGGGGAUCUUCGGACCUUGCGCGAUUGAAUGAGCCGAUGUCGGAUUAGCUAGUUGGCGGGGUAAAGGCCCACCAAGGCGACGAUCCGUAGCUGGUCUGAGAGGAUGAUCAGGCACACUGGAACUGAGACACGGUCCAGACUCCUACGGGAGGCAGCAGUGGGGAAUAUUGGACAAAGGGCGCAAGCCUGAUCCAGCCAUGCCGCGUGGGUGAAGAAGGCCUUCGGAUUGUAAAGCCCUUUUGUUGGGAAAGAAAGGCAGCAGGUUAAUACCCCGCUGUUCUGACGGUACCCAAAGAAUAAGCACCGGCUAACUUCGUG
rnacentral:rRNA from 1 species